rnacentral:rRNA from 1 species
CACGUAGGGUGCGAGCGUUGUCCGGAAUUAUUGGGCGUAAAGAGCUCGUAGGCGGUGUGUCGCGUCGGCCGUGAAAACCUGCAGCUUAACUGUGGGCGUGCGGUCGAUACGGGCAUCACUGGAGUUCGGCAGGGGAGACUGGAAUUCCUGGUGUAGCGGUGAAAUGCGCAGAUAUCAGGAGGAACACCGGUGGCGAAGGCGGGUCUCUGGGCCGGAACUGACGCUGAGGAGCGAAAGCGUGGGGAGCGAACAGG